UUUCAGGACAUUCCUUCAUUCUGAGAAGUGGCUGUGGCCAACCAGCUGGAGGCUGCUGAGCUGCCCUGCGGUGCAAGAGCAUCACUCCUGACUGGCACGAGAGCUCCAGGACCAUCAGCUCAUCAGGAAAUCUCCUGUCUGUCCAGAGCACGCAGUGAAUUCCCACCUUUGCACUCAAGGCACAGCAUUAAGUGCUUCCAAAAUUCCCGUGACGGCUCCAUCCUGCAACGUUCUGAACCUCCUCACUGUGCUUCAGCAAUGCGAUCAGGUCCAGAUACGAGCUCAGGACUGGACCUACUGCAACAAGCAGUGUGAACAAUGCUGGGCUCUUACUGCCAUGCUCAGUGAGUUUCUGGCUGCAUCUAGAGUGCCAAAAAAACUUAUUGCAGGAAACAGGAGUGUCAUUUCUCCUUGUCUGCUGUGAGCGAGUCCUCAUCGGUUCAAGUGACAACACGUGCAGGUGCCUCUCUGCUUUUUCCACACCGGGUGAGUCCUUUCAGCAAGCAGGGAGGGAACAGCUGCUGGGUGAAAACAAGGCCAUCCUGCUGACCCAAGCUGAAAUGCGACAGGGAAAUGGGAUUUCUGACCUUGAGAGGUACAAAGUUGCCCAAAGGAGGGACCCAGCGAAGAUUAAAAAUAACUCCAUCUCCGUAACGCUUCUGCAGCUGGGCCAAAGCAUUGCAAAACACACAGCCAGCUAUGAAAUAGGACCAAUUGACAACAGCCUUUUGGUGACCGAUGGGCUGAGGAGAUCGCCCUCCCCUUUGCGAGCAUGGACUGAAGAACAGCUGCUUUUGUCAGCCGUGCUCUUGCUUGUCCUCUCCCCUGUCCCUGCAGAUGUUUGAGGAUGGCUGCUGUGACGGUGCUCAUCGUGUGGGUCGGUGUUCCUUUCUCCUCAGCUCCCACUUCUGUUUGGCUGUUGUGAGAGCAAUUAGACAUUACUCAGAGAGGGCCAGACAGUGUGUGGGUCCAUGGUCGCUCGGUCUGUCUGUCUGUCUCCCCCCUCUCGCACACAUGCCAUGUGAUUUGAAGCAGUCAUGUACCAUGAAUAAUGUCCAGGGGCCAGGUCACAAGCUUCCCAUAGCAUGGAAUUCAUUUGCAUACAAUCCGAGCAAUUACAAGUAAUGAAUAGAUUAGGAAAACCAAACAAAACGAGAAACGAUUCAGGCUGCU
ensembl:lncRNA